UGGGGAAUUUUGCACAAUGGGGGAAACCCUGAUGCAGCGACGCCGCGUGAUUUAGAAGGCCUUCGGGUUGUAAAAAUCUUUUCUAUGGGAAGAAAAUGACAGUACCAUAGGAAUAAGGACCGGCUAAUUACGUGCCAGCAGCCGCGGUAAUACGUAAGGUCCGAGCGUUGUCCGGAAUCAUUGGGCGUAAAGGGUACGUAGGCGGGUAAGCAAGUUAGAAGUGAAAUCCUAUAGCUCAACUAUAGUAAGCUUUUAAAACUGCUCAUCUUGAGGUAUGGAAGGGAAAGUGGAAUUCCAAGUGUAGCGGUGAAAUGCGCAGAUAUUAGGAGGAAUACCGGUGGCGAAGGCGACUUUCUGGCCAUAACCUGACGCUGAGGUACGAAAGCGUAGGUAGCAAACAGG
rnacentral:rRNA from 1 species